UACGAAGGGGGCUAGCGUUGCUCGGAAUUACUGGGCGUAAAGGGCGCGUAGGCGGACAGUUUAGUCAGAGGUGAAAGCCCAGGGCUCAACCUUGGAAUUGCCUUUGAUACUGGCUGUCUUGAGUUCGGGAGAGGUGAGUGGAAUGCCGAGUGUAGAGGUGAAAUUCGUAGAUAUUCGGCGGAACACCAGUGGCGAAGGCGACUCACUGGCCCGAUACUGACGCUGAGGCGCGAAAGCUAGGGGAGCAAACGGG
rnacentral:rRNA from 1 species